GCUGUAAACGAUGGGCACUAGGUGUUGGCUUCCGCCACGGGCGGAGUCGGUGCCGCAGCUAACGCAUUAAGUGCCCCGCCUGGGGAGUACGCUCGCAAGGGUGAAACUCAAAGGAAUUGACGGGGGCCCGCACAAGCGGUGGAGCAUGUGGUUUAAUUCGAUGCAACGCGAAGAACCUUACCGGGGCUUGAACUGCCAGGUAACCCCCAUGAAAGUGGGUCUGCUCUUCGGAGCGACCUGGUAGAGGUGCUGCAUGGCUGUCGUCAGCUCGUGUCGUGAGAUGUUCGGUUAAGUCCGGCAACGAGCGCAACCCUUGUUCCUAGUUGCCAUCAGGUGAAGCUGGGCACUCUAGGAAGACUGCCGGCGAUAAGCUGGAGGAAGGUGGGGAUGACGUCAAGUCCUCAUGGCCCUUACGUCCCGGGCUANCACACGUGC
rnacentral:rRNA from 1 species